CGUAGGAGGCAAGCGUUAUCCGGAUUUACUGGGCGUAAAGCGCAUGUAGGCGGUUUUCAAAGUCAGACGUAAAAGCUCCCGGCUCAACUGGGAGAGGCCGUUUGAAACUGGAAGACUUGAGGAUGGUAGAGGAGAGUGGAAUUCCCGGUGUAGUGGUGAAAUGCGUAGAUAUCGGGAGGAACACCAGUGGCGAAGGCGGCUCUCUGGGCCAUACCUGACGCUCAGAUGCGAAAGCUAGGGGAGAGAACGGGAUUAGAAACCCCGGUAUUCCUAGCCGUAAACCAUGUCAACUAGGCGUAGGAGGUUAUUGACCCCUUCUGUGCUGUAGCUAACGCAUUAAGUUGACCGCCUGGGGACUACGGCCGCAAGGCUA
rnacentral:rRNA from 1 species